AUCCCAUGGUGAGGACAGGCGGCUACAUAUUCCUGUAGACAUUCCCAUGCUUCAGGAAUCGAUUCGUCCCUUGUCUGCUGGAAACUUGAAAUCCUUUCGAGAUGGGC
rnacentral:snoRNA from 1 species